rnacentral:rRNA from 1 species
AAGGAAUAUUGGUCAAUGGACGCAAGUCUGAACCAGCCAUGCCGCGUGAAGGAUGAAGGUCCUCUGGAUUGUAAACUUCUUUUAUAGGGGACGAAACCUCUUUUUCUAAAGAGACUGACGGUACCCUAGGAAUAAGCACCGGCUAACUCCGUGCCAGCAGCCGCGGUAAUACGGAGGGUGCAAGCGUUAUCCGGAUUCACUGGGUUUAAAGGGUGCGUAGGAAGGCAGGUAAGUCAGUGGUGAAAUCUCCAAGCUUAACUUGGAAACUGCCGUUGAUACUAUCUGUCUUGAAUACCGUGGAGGUGAGCGGAAUAUGUCAUGUAGCGGUGAAAUGCUUAGAUAUGACAUAGAACACCAAUUGCGAAGGCAGCUCACUACACGAAUAUUGACUCUGAGGCACGAAAGCGUGGGGAUCAAA